AUUUAAGGGUUGGCAGUGGUGGUGAGAGUGUUUUGUUGGAGAUACCUGCCUACCUGAGGCUUUCUGAAGAGUCAGGCUUUAAAAAGAGGAGCACCCUCUGGAGGCACCGGUGCUGGUGAUUCCUGCUCCUGAGGUGCUUCCUGAAACUGGCUGGGGAUGCUGCUGGAGCUCAUCUCGCUUCCUUGGAGACAAAAUUAGAAAAGCACAGAUGAGGGAGAGGAAAGCAGCGAAGAGGGAAGCAGCAGCAGUGCUGAGUGAGGCCUGGAUCUGAGGAGCAGCAUGGACCCAGCAUGGGGCUGCAGGGACCCAGGUCCUGGGGGCACCUAGCAGCAACCACUGUGUCCUCUGCAGCCAGGAGGGUCCCUGCUUUGCUCCAGCUCUAAAAGAAGCCACGGAAGUCGUUUAUUGCUCCUCAACUCCCCACCAGGAACAUUAUCCCUUAAUUGCUGCAUUUAUUCAGACUUAUUCUGUAUAUCUAACAAUAAUGAGUAUAUUAGAUAUGUAAUUAUUACUGUCAUAAACGUAAUAGUGACAAAACAAUAAUUGAAAUAGUGUCUAUGAGGAUAAUUCACCGUCGCAAUUAAUACUGCCCUGCUUAGUUAAUAUGUCACGGUUUAAAAUAAAUGCUGUCAUUACUCCAUUACUAA